GGGGAAUAUUGGACAAUGGGCGAAAGCCUGAUCCAGCAAUGCCGCGUGUGUGAAGAAGGCCUGCGGGUUGUAAAGCACUUUCAGCAGGGAAGAAAUACCUGGAGCUAAUACCUCCAGGGACUGACGUAACCUGCAGAAGAAGCACCGGCUAACUCCGUGCCAGCAGCCGCGGUAAUACGGAGGGUGCAAGCGUUAAUCGGAAUUACUGGGCGUAAAGCGCACGUAGGUGGUUGGGUAAGUCGGGUGUGAAAGCCCCGGGCUUAACUUGGGAAUUGCAUUCGAUACUGCCCAGCUAGAGUAUGGAAGAGGGAAGCGGAAUUUCCGGUGUAGCGGUGAAAUGCGUAGAUAUCGGAAGGAACACCAGUGGCGAAGGCGGCUUCCUGGUCCAAUACUGACACUGAGGUGCGAAAGCGUGGGUAGCGAAC
rnacentral:rRNA from 1 species